rnacentral:rRNA from 1 species
AGGACGAACGCUGGCGGCAUGCCUAAUACAUGCAAGUCGAACGCUGAAACACUCUGCUUGCAGAGUGUGGAUGAGUGGCGAACGGGUGAGUAACACGUGGGGAAUCUGCCUAUAAGUGGGGGAUAACAUUCGGAAACGGAUGCUAAUACCGCAUAUAUUCAAAAACCGCAUGGUUUCUGAAAGAAAGACGGCUUUGCUGUCGCUUAUAGAUGAUCCCGCGGCGUAUUAGUUAGUUGGUGGGGUAAUGGCCUACCAAGACCAUGAUACGUAGCCGACCUGAGAGGGUGAUCGGCCACACUGGGACUGAGACACGGCCCAGACUCCUACGGGAGGCAGCAGUAGGGAAUCUUCCACAAUGGGUGCAAACCUGAUGGAGCAAUGCCGCGUGAAUGAAGAAGGUCUUCGGAUCGUAAAGUUCUGUUAUUAGAGAAGAACAAGUCAAGGAGUAACUGCCUUGACUUUGACGGUACCUAACCAGAAAGUCACGGCUAACUACGUGCCAGCCGCAGC